AACGCAUUAAGCACUCCGCCUGGGGAGUACGACCGCAAGGUUGAAACUCAAAGGAAUUGACGGGGGCCCGCACAAGCGGUGGAGCAUGUGGUUUAAUUCGAAGCAACGCGAAGAACCUUACCAGGUCUUGACAUCCUUUGACCACUCUAGAGAUAGAGCUUCCCCUUCGGGGGCAAAGUGACAGGUGGUGCAUGGUUGUCGUCAGCUCGUGUCGUGAGAUGUUGGGUUAAGUCCCGCAACGAGCGCAACCCUUAUUGUUAGUUGCCAUCAUUUAGUUGGGCACUCUAGCAAGACUGCCGGUGACAAACCGGAGGAAGGUGGGGAUGACGUCAAAUCAUCAUGCCCCUUAUGACCUGGGCUACACACGUGCUACAAUGGGAAGUACAACGAGUCGCGAAGUCGCGAGGCUAAGCUAAUCUCUUAAAGCUUCUCUCAGUUCGGAUUGUAGGCUGCAACUCGCCUACAUGAAGCCGGAAUCGCUAGUAAUCGCGGAUCAGCACGCCGCGGUGAAUACGUUCCCGGGCCUUGUACACACCGCCCGUCACACCACGAGAGUUUGUAACACCCGAAGUCGGUGAGGUAACCUUUUGGAGCCAGCCGCCUAAGGUGGGAUAGAUGAUUGGGGUGAAGUCGUAACAAGGUAGCCGUAUCGGAAGGUGCGGCUG
rnacentral:rRNA from 1 species